rnacentral:rRNA from 1 species
GACGAACGCUGGCGGCGUGCCUAACACAUGCAAGUCGAGCGAAUGAAGUUCCUCGGGAACGGAUUUAGCGGCGACGGGUGAGUAACACGUGGGCAACCUGCCUCGUAGAGGGGAAUAGCCUUCCGAAAGGGAGAUUAAUACCGCAUAAGAUUGUAGUACCGCAUGGUACAGCAAUUAAAGGAGCAAUCCGCUAUGAGAUGGGCCCGCGGCGCAUUAGCUAGUUGGUGAGGUAACGGCUCACCAAGGCGACGAUGCGUAGCCGACCUGAGAGGGUGAUCGGCCACAUUGGGACUGAGACACGGCCCAGACUCCUACGGGAGGCAGCAGUGGGGAAUAUUGCACAAUGGGGGAAACCCUGAUGCAGCAACGCCGCGUGAGUGAUGACGGCCUUCGGGUUGUAAAGCUCUGUCUUCAGGGACGAUAAUGACGGUACCUGAGGAGGAAGCCACGGCUAACUACGUG